rnacentral:rRNA from 1 species
AUUGAACGCUGGCGGCAUGCUUUACACAUGCAAGUCGAACGGUAACAGGCCGCAAGGUGCUGACGAGUGGCGGACGGGUGAGUAAUGCAUCGGAACGUGCCCAGUCGUGGGGGAUAACUACUCGAAAGAGUAGCUAAUACCGCAUACGAUCUAUGGAUGAAAGCGGGGGACCGGAAGGCCUCGCGCGAUUGGAGCGGCCGAUGUCAGAUUAGGUAGUUGGUGGGGUAAAGGCUCACCAAGCCAACGAUCUGUAGCUGGUCUGAGAGGACGACCGGCCACACUGGGACUGAGACACGGCCCAGACUCCUACGGGAGGCAGCAGUGGGGAAUUUUGGACAAUGGGCGCAAGCCUGAUCCAGCAAUGCGGCGUGCAGGAAGAAGGCCUUCGGGUUGUAAUCUGCUUUUGUGCGGAACGAAACGGCUCUGGUUAAUACCCGGGGCUAAUGACGGUACCGUAAGAAUAAGCACCGGCUAACUACGUG